rnacentral:rRNA from 1 species
UACGUAGGUGGCAAGCGUUAUCCGGAAUUAUUGGGCGUAAAGAGCGCGCAGGUGGUUGAUUAAGUCUGAUGUGAAAGCCCACGGCUUAACCGUGGAGGGUCAUUGGAAACUGGUCGACUUGAGUGCAGAAGAGGGAAGUGGAAUUCCAUGUGUAGCGGUGAAAUGCGUAGAGAUAUGGAGGAACACCAGUGGCGAAGGCGGCUUCCUGGUCUGUAACUGACACUGAGGCACGAAAGCGUGGGGAGCAAACAGGAUUAGAUACCCG